rnacentral:lncRNA from 1 species
CAGGAUUAUCCUUUUGAAGAAACAGUAUCAAGAAAAUCAUGUUCGUGUGGAAAAAAAUUACAGUUAGGUCCUUGCCUAGAAUUGAAUCUGAAAAUGUUCCCAAUAUUGAGAAGUCUCCAAAGCAGGCAUGGAAAGUGGUUCUUGAGAGAAAAGGUUGGUUUUGAAUUCCAGUGAGGCUUGGAGAGCACAAAGCUCUGCGAAUCGCAGGUGAGUCAGAGCAUUCCUGUCCCCUUAAG